rfam:Hordeum vulgare subsp. vulgare, WGS project CAJW01000000 data, contig: morex_contig_37255
UAAAUACUCCCUCCGUCCCAAAAAGCUUGUCUUAGAUUUGUCUAGAUACAGAUGUAUCUAGAGAUGUUUUAGUGUUAGAUACAUCUGUAUCUAGAUAAAUCUAAGCCAAGCUUUUUGGGGAGGUAAUAUUAU